GGACCCGCACAAGUAGUGGAGCAUGUGGUUUAAUUCGAAGAUACGCGCAGAACCUUACCAACACUUGACAUGUUCGUCGCGACUUUAAGAGAUUAAAGUGUUCGGUUCGGCCGGACGAAACACAGGUGCUGCAUGGCUGUCGUCAGCUCGUGUCGUGAGAUGUUGGGUUAAGUCCCGCAACGAGCGCAACCCUCACUUUUAGUUGCCAUCAUUAAGUUGGGCACUCUGAAAGAACUGCCAGUGAUAAGCUGGAGGAAGGUGGGGAUGACGUCAAGUCCUCAUGGCCCUUACGUGUUGGGCUACACACGUGCUACAAUGGUAUCUACAACAGGAAGCAAGACUGCGACGUUUAGCAAAUCCUUAAAAGAUACCUCAGUUCGGAUUGCACUCUGCAACUCGAGUGCAUGAAGCUGGAAUUACUAGUAAUCGU
rnacentral:rRNA from 1 species